rnacentral:rRNA from 1 species
UACGUAGGGGGCAAGCGUUGUCCGGAUUUAUUGGGCGUAAAGAGCGUGUAGGCGGCUUUGCAAGUCCGUUGUGAAAGCUCGAGGCUCAACCUCGAGACGCCGGUGGAAACUGCAAAGCUAGAGUCCGGAAGAGGAGAGUGGAAUUCCUGGUGUAGCGGUGAAAUGCGCAGAUAUCAGGAAGAACACCCGUGGCGAAGGCGGCUCUCUGGGACGGUACUGACGCUGAGACGCGAAAGCGUGGGGAGCGAACAGG